rnacentral:rRNA from 1 species
GCCAGGCUAACUCUGUGCCAGCAGCCGCGGUAAUACAGAGGGUGCAAGCGUUAAUCGGAUUUACUGGGCGUAAAGCGCGCGUAGGCGGCUAAUUAAGUCAAAUGUGAAAUCCCCGAGCUUAACUUGGGAAUUGCAUUCGAUACUGGUUAGCUAGAGUGUGGGAGAGGAUGGUAGAAUUCCAGAUGUAGCGGUGAAAUGCGUAGAGAUUUGGAGGAAUACCGAUGGCGAAGGCAGCCAUCUGGCCUAACACUGACGCUGAGGUGCGAAAGCAUGGGGAGCAAACAGGAUUAGAUACCCUGGUAGUCCAUGCCGUAAACGAUGUCUACUAGCCGUUGGGGCCUUUGAGGCUUUAGUGGCGCAGCUAACGCGAUAAGUAGACCGCCUGGGGAGUACGGUCGCAAGACUAAAACUCAAAUGAAUUGACGGGGGCCCGCACAAGCGGUGGAGCAUGUGGUUUAAUUCGAUGCAACGCGAAGAACCUUACCUGGCCUUGACAUAGUAAGAACUUUCCAGAGAUGGAUUGGUGCCUUCGGGAACUUACAUACAGGUGCUGCAUGGCUGUCGUCAGCUCGUGUCGUGAGAUGUCGGGUCAGUCCCGGCAAGAAGCGCAACCUUUUCCUUUUUGGCCAGGAGUAUGUCGGAA